AACGAACGCUGGCGGCAGGCCUAACACAUGCAAGUCGGACGCUGCAGCAAUGCAGAGUGGCAGACGGGUGAGUAACGCGUGGGGACCUUCCCAGUGGUACGGAAUAGCCCAGGGAAACUUGGGGUAAUACCGUAUAAGCCCCUAGGGGGAAAGAUUUAUCGCCAUUGGAUGGGCCCGCGUCGGAUUAGCUAGUUGGUGAGGUAAUGGCUCACCAAGGCGACGAUCCGUAGCUGGUCUGAGAGGAUGAUCAGCCACACUGGGACUGAGACACGGCCCAGACUCCUACGGGAGGCAGCAGUGGGGAAUAUUGGACAAUGGCGCAAGCCUGAUCCAGCCAUGCCGCGUGAGUGACGAAGGCCUUAGGGUUGUAAAGCUCUUUUGGCGGGGACGAUAAUGACGGUACCCGCAGAAUAAGCUCCGGCUAACUUCGUGCCAGCCGCCGCGGUAA
rnacentral:rRNA from 1 species